CUGUGGUCAGCUCCUCUCAAAUGAAUUAGCCUGCCGGUGUUUGGUGGGAUCACAGGUGUGAUAACUAUCUACGCUUGUGGUUUUCCACCAGGUAACCCUCAGCAAUGGAGGUUCACCGGAGCUUAUAAAUGUCUCUCCCCAGCGAGGACAGAUUUUGACCGUUUGAUCUCAAAUCAGGUAGGACUACCCGCUGAACUUAA
rnacentral:misc_RNA from 1 species